GUCCUUUUGAUUUUUAUAUAAGGUCUGACCUGCCCUAUGAAUAUUUAAAUGGCCGCGGUAUACUAACCGUGCAAAGGUAGCAUAGUCAUUUGUCUCUUAAUUGGAGGCUUGAAUGAAGGGUUGGACGAGAUAUAAGCUUUCUUUGUUAUAUUUUAUUGAAUUUGACUUUUGAGUUAAAAGGCUUAAAUUUUUUUAUAGGACGAGAAGACCCUAUAGAAUUUUAUAUAUUUGUAUAAUCGAUUUAUUUAUUUAUUAUUUAAUUUUUUGUUUAAAUAUAUUUUGUUGGGGCGAUGGGAAGAUUUUAAUAACUCUUUUUUGUUUUAAUCAUUGAUUUAUGUUUUAUUCUGAUCCUUUUUUAGAGAUUAUAAGAUUAAAUUACCUUAGGGAUAACAGCGUAAUUCUUUUGGAGAGUUCUUAUCGAUAAAAGAGUUUGCGA
rnacentral:rRNA from 1 species